GACGUAGGGCGCGAGCGUUGUCCGGAUUUAUUGGGCGUAAAGAGCUCGUAGGCGGCUUGUCGCGUCGUCCGUGAAAACCUGCAGCUCAACUGCAGGCUUGCGGUCGAUACGGGCAGGCUAGAGUUCGGUAGGGGAGACUGGAAUUCCCGGUGUAGCGGUGAAAUGCGCAGAUAUCGGGAAGAACACCCGUGGCGAAGGCGGUUCUCUGGGACGGUACUGACGCUGAGACGCGAAAGCGUGGGGAGCGAACAGG
rnacentral:rRNA from 1 species